rnacentral:rRNA from 1 species
GAUGAACGCUGACAGAAUGCUUAACACAUGCAAGUCAACUUGAAUUUGGGUUUUUAACUUAGGCUUGGGUGGCGGACGGGUGAGUAACGCGUAAAGAACUUGCCUCACAGCUAGGGACAACAUUUGGAAACGAAUGCUAAUACCUAAUAUUAUGAUAAUAGGGCAUCCUAUAAUUAUGAAAGCUAUAAGCGCUGUGAGAGAGCUUUGCGUCCCAUUAGCUAGUUGGAGAGGUAACGGCUCACCAAGGCGAUGAUGGGUAGCCGGCCUGAGAGGGUGAUCGGCCACAAGGGGACUGAGACACGGCCCUUACUCCUACGGGAGGCAGCAGUGGGGAAUAUUGGACAAUGGACCGAGAGUCUGAUCCAGCAAUUCUGUGUGCACGAUGAAGUUUUUCGGAAUGUAAAGUGCUUUCAGUUGGGAAGAAACAAAUGACGGUACCAACAGAAGAAGUGACGGCUAAAUACGUG